rnacentral:rRNA from 1 species
AACGAACGCUGGCGGCGUGCCUAACACAUGCAAGUCGAGGGAGAAAGGGAGCUUCGGCUCCCGAGUAAACCGGCGCACGGGUGAGUAAUACGUAGGUAACGUACCUUCGAGUCUGGGAUAACCAGUCGAAAGACUGGCUAAUACCGGAUACGACCGAGGGGGCUUCGGCUCUCACGGUGAAAGAUGGCCUCUGCUUGCACGCUAUCACUCGAGGAGCGGCCUGCGCACCAUUAGCUAGUUGGUGAGGUAACGGCUCACCAAGGCUGAGAUGGUUAGCUGGUCUGAGAGGGUGACCGGCCACACUGGGACUGAGACACGGCCCAGACUCCUACGGGAGGCAGCAGUGGGGAAUCUUGCGCAAUGGGCGAAAGCCUGACGCAGCGACGCCGCGUGGGGGACGAAGGCC